GUUAUUUAUGUUUUCAUUAAGCCAUUAAAUAAACUAAUAUAUUAAAAAUUCAAUGAAUUAAUUUAAGUGGUUUAAAAAUCAUUCUACGAUUUAUCAUCUAGUACAAAUUUCACAAUCUUAAAGAAAAUCAAAUUUAUUUUCUUUUUAAUGCAUUUCACAUAUUUCGGAAAAAUAAUUUUAUGUCUGUUAUGUGUAAAAAUUCAUUUUUUCAUUAAAGUUAUUAUAUUACAGUAAAUAUUAUAUUGAUAAUUAUGAUCUAAUUUAGGCUAUGUAUCUGCACUAAAUUUAGAAAGAUAAUUCAAUUUUACUCUACGUUAGUGGUUCCCAACGUGGGGCGCACGCCCCACAAGAGGGCAAUUUGAUUUUUAAGGGGGGUAAUUUGAUAAUGAGUUUUUUGAAUUUCUUAUGGUCUCAUAUACAGUAUAUAAACAUAUGUUGUGGCAUACACAUUUUUAAAUUUAAAAUCAAAAUGUAUUACGGCGAUCAGCUGGUGACAAUGGAGAAGGGAGAGCCCGCUAAUAGAGAGGAGUGGUUACAACUUUUACUGUUUACUUCUCCGUUGUCAUCAACUGACCGCUGUGUACAUUCUCAUUAAGAUAAGUCUGGCGAUCUUAGAAGAAAGCAAAAAAGUAUUUAGUGUCCACACACAGUUAUUAUUAUUGAAGGGUCUUGAUACAAAUCACUUAUUAUUUUUUAAACAAUUUCU
rnacentral:lncRNA from 1 species